GCCUUCGUCAUGUAAUGGUUAGCACGUUCGACGCAUAACCAAGAGGUCCGUGGUUCGACUCCCGGCGAGGGCA
rnacentral:tRNA from 1 species